rnacentral:rRNA from 1 species
AUACGGAGGAUGCAAGCGUUAUCCGGAUUUAUUGGGUUUAAAGGGUGCGUAGGCGGUUUGCUAAGCGGGAGGUGAAAUGCCGGCGCUCAACGUCGGAAGUGCCUCCCGAACUGGUGGACUGGAAUGACUCUGCCGUGGGAGGAAUGUGUAGUGUAGCGGUGAAAUGCUUAGAGAUUACACAGAACACCGAUUGCGAAGGCACCUCCCGAAGGGUUGAUUGACGCUGAGGCACGAAAGCGUGGGGAUCAAACAGGAUUAGAUACCCUGGUAGUCCACGCAGUAAACGAUGAUGGCUAACCGCUGGUUUUUUCGGAUCAGUGGCCAAGCGAAAGCGAUAAGCCAUCCACCUGGGGAGUACGACCGCAAGGUUGAAACUCAAAUGAAUUGACGGGG